UUGCCCUGUAACCGCAGGGAAAUGGCUCGUUAUUAGCGUAUAGCUGGGCUUCUCCUAAGGCACAUUAGGACUACUGCGUCGGCCCUAAUAGUAUUGCAAACACCACUAACGUCUCAGCUACCCCCAUGGUGAGAGAUGGGCUGAUGCUAAAAGAAAAGCGAGGCAGGAGGCACCUUUCAAAAUCCUUCUUGUAACAUCUGCUGUAACCAGAUUUUCGUUUGCUUGUUCUCAGCAGGCACAUUGAGCGACAGAUGCACUUUGAGGGCAGCAGAGGAGGAUCCAGUGUGGUUUUUAAAGAGGACUUUGCUACCACAGAGGCCAUUUCCUCAAGACAUGAGGUGGCCAGCUGAGUGGGGCCAGCUGAGCCUUGAGAAAAGCCGCUGCCUUGGGGCCAUCAGCGCAGCAGCCUUGUAGGACAACCCGGAUGCCCAGGUAAGCGAUAACAUGGAUUACGGCCCCUUCAUUGCUGUGAACUCGCCUAUUUGAAUGCAGAGGCAUUGCUUGUUGGGACUGAAAGUUUUUGGGGCCACCUGGGUUGGAAAAGCCCUGCUCUUUUUUCAUGAAAGCCCAUCCAAGGGUUAUGUGAGAUUCCUGCACAGCUGGCCUGUGCUGCUGAGAUUUGUUCCUGUGUUAAAACUUGGGUUUAAAAGCCUGGCCGCAACCUUUUAAAUAAAAAAAGUAAAUGUGA